rnacentral:rRNA from 1 species
GAUGAACGCUGGCGGCGUGCCUAAUACAUGCAAGUCGAGCGAACAGACGAGGAGCUUGCUCCUCUGACGUUAGCGGCGGACGGGUGAGUAACACGUGGAUAACCUACCUAUAAGACUGGGAUAACUUCGGGAAACCGGAGCUAAUACCGGAUAAUAUAUUGAACCGCAUGGUUCAAUAGUGAAAGACGGUUUUGCUGUCACUUAUAGAUGGAUCCGCGCCGCAUUAGCUAGUUGGUAAGGUAACGGCUUACCAAGGCAACGAUGCGUAGCCGACCUGAGAGGGUGAUCGGCCACACUGGAACUGAGACACGGUCCAGACUCCUACGGGAGGCAGCAGUAGGGCCUCUUCCGCCCUGGUCGCCCGCCUGCCGGCGCCCCGCCGCGUGCGUGAUGAAGGUCUUCGGAUCGUAAAACUCUGUUAUUAGGGAAGACCAAAUGUGUCAGUCCCUCUGCCCGUCUUGCCGGUCCCUCCUCCGACCGCCACGGCUCCCUCCGUG